rnacentral:rRNA from 1 species
GAAUUCACUAGUGAUUCAGGCCUAGCACAUGCAAGUCGAGGGGUAUAUGUCUUCGGAUAUAGAGACCGGCGCAGGGGUGCGUAACGCGUAUGCAAUCUGCCUUUCGCAGAGGGAUAGCCCAAAAAAAAAUGGAUUGAUACCUCAUAGUAUUGCGGCUCGGCAUCGAGAUGUAAUUGAAGUCACAUCGGUGAAAGAUGAGCAUGCGUCCCAUUAGUUAGUUGGUCAGGUAGCGGCUUACCAAGGCAACGAUGGGUAGGGGUCCUGAGAGGGAGAUCCCCCACACUGGUACUGAGACACGGUCCAGACUCCUACGGGAGGCGGGAAAGAGGAAUAUUGGUCUAAAUACGCCAGUCUGUACCAGCCAUGCCGCGUGCAGGAUGACGGUCCUAUGGAUUGUAAGGUGCUUAGUACGAGAAGAAACACUCCGACGUGUCGGAGCUGACGGUAUC